rnacentral:tRNA from 1 species
CAAAUUAGAGCUUGAAUUAAAGCAUCUUAGUUACAUUAAGAGGAUAUCAAUAGUUUGAUUGAUUUGA